CCACUACUCAGCCCUUCCAGCCACGUUCAAACCCUAAAUCGUUCUUCUCUGAAAAUCGGUUUCCGCCAUAAUCCUCUCGACGGCCAGUGUCUUCAGGUUCGUCCCUUCGUCAACCUUCAAUUCAAAUUCCUAUAUAUGCUGCUUGAUCUGCUCUGUUUUUUAUUUUUAUUUUUAUUUUUUGUCAAUUUAAUCUAAUAUUUCCUAUUGUUUGCUAAUUUAUCCAUCUUCAUCCUCUCAUGAGUCAUAGCGGCGGAGAAUCCCAUCAGAUAAACGAAUUUCCAAGGGCUGAAUUUCCAAGGGUGCUUCAAUACCUCAAUGUGAAAAUGGGACAAAUAUUUUAAUAUCUUUACCUAGAUCUGUUAGUUCAGAAGAUAUGGCUGUGACUUGAGCUGGUGUCCGUCUUAAUGGUGCAGAUGCAUCAAUCUUGUCAUUGUUGUAUGAUUUUGAGGAACUGGAGGGAGAGUAGGACUUUCUUACUCGUGUCGUCGUUCUUACUUUCUAUCCUGCUGCUUCUGGGAGAACUCCAUUAACUCUUGGUGAGAGGCAGAGGCAAAGGCUAAAUUAUAUGGAAGCCAUGAAAAGGGAAAUUGAACGCCUACGCUUAAAUAUUUCUGCUGCUGAGCGAGAUAGGGCUCUAUUGGCGGUCGGCACAAAUCCUGCUUCUAUAAAUCUGAAUCUGUUGCUGGAUAAUCUACAGAUGAUAAGAUUGUGCAGGAUCAUAACUAGUCUUGCAAUGGUGGGACAAGCAGCUCUUGAAGACAAAAUUACUAAAUUAAUUGGUCUUGAGAAAAAUGACGAUGAUGUCAUUUAUUUCUGGUUGUUUCUGGUUUUGGAGAGAGUUGUGUCGGCGGUGUGUGUGAGGUACAUGCUGAAAAUGGGGAAGCAGUGCAAAUAUCUACCGUGAAAUCAUCAGCAGAUUCCUCAAGGUCUUUGUUGUGUUCUUAUUGUGGGAGAAACUUUGUCAAAUAUGUUGUGCUGGAAGGGGAGCAUCUCUGCUUGCAAGUUAUAGUAAAAGGGGUUAUUUGAACUCUAAUGGUGGACAAGGCCGCAGUAACUCAAGCCAUGGAAGCCAAGCUGACAUCUAUACUAAUAACAACUAUGUCACAUAAAAUGGGGUCAUCUAUAAACAGUGAUGCAGUGAUGUUGUGCUGAAUGCAUUAGUACUGGACUAUGUCAGGGCCUUGUUAAGCUCCACAAGAACCACUCGUGUUGGUACUGCUGCUUUUACAGCUUUGGAUAAAGUCCUUGAAUUUUCCUUUGAAUGCUGAAACUAGUAAAAGAUGUAUACCUUCCGACGCCCCAGACUCAAGUAAAGUUUUGAGAAAGAUACUAAAUGGGGAAGAAUCUUUAGCUGAAUCUCCAUUUGCCAGCCUUUUGUACUUGAUCAAUUAUUUUUUCUAUUUUGAUCAC